UCGUUUCGAUAUUGAGGCGUCAGACUUGGGACUGACGGGGAGUAUUACCCGAUGCCACCCUGAAAUGGGUGACAAUCGAACUCCUGUAAAAACUCAACACAGAUUAGCUCUGCUACACAAUAUCAAACG
rnacentral:sRNA from 26 species